rnacentral:tRNA from 1 species
GUUAAUGUAGCUUAAUACAAAGCAAAGCACUGAAAAUGCUUAGAUGAGUAUUUACUACUCCAUAGACA